rnacentral:rRNA from 2 species
UACGGAGGGUGCGAGCGUUAUUCGGAAUCACUGGGCGUAAAGGGCGCGUAGGCGGCCUGGUAAGUCAGGGGUGAAAUCCCACGGCUCAACCGUGGAAUUGCCUUUGAAACUGCUGGGCUUGGAUCCUGGAGAGGGUGGCGGAAUUCCUGGUGUAGGAGUGAAAUCCGUAGAUAUCAGGAGGAACACCGGUGGCGAAGGCGGCCACCUGGACAGGUAUCGACGCUGAGGCGCGAAAGUGUGGGGAGCAAACAGG